rnacentral:tmRNA from 1 species
GGUGCAUGCCGAGUUGGUAACAGAACUCGUAAAUCCACUGUUGCAACUUCCUAUAGUUGCCAAUGACGAAACCUACGGGGAUUACGCUCUCGCUGCGUAAGCAGCCUUAGCCCUUCCCCCCUGGUACCUUCGGGUCCAGCAAUCAUCAGGGGAUGUCUGUAAACCCAAAAUGAUUGUCAUAUAGAACAGAAUCGCCGUGCAGUACGUUGUGGACGAAGCGGCUAAAACUUACACAACUCGCCCAAAGCACCCUCGCCCGUCGGGUCGCUGAGGUUAACUCAAUAGACACGGCUAAGCAUGUAGUACC